AGUGAACGCUGGCGGUAGGCCUAACACAUGCAAGUCGAACGGCAGCACAGUAAGAGCUUGCUCUUACGGUUGGCGAGUGGCGGACGGGUGAGGAAUACAUCGGAAUCUACUUUUUCGUGGGGGAUAACGUAGGGAAACUUACGCUAAUACCGCAUACGACCUACGGGUGAAAGCAGUGGAUCUUCGGACCUUGCGCGAUUGAAUGAGACGAUGUCGGAUUAGCUAGUUGGCGUGGUAAAGGCCCACCAAGGCAACGAUACGUAGCUGGUCUGAGAGGAUGAUCAGCCACACUGGAACUGAGACACGGUCCAGACUCCUACGGGAGGCAGCAGUAGGGAAUAUUCGACAAUGGGCGCAAGCCUGAUCCAGCCAUACCGCGUGAGUGAAGAAGGCCUUCGGGUUGUAAAGCCCUUUUAUUAGGAAAGAAAAGCAGCAGGUUAAUACCCCGCUGUUCUGACGGUACCCAAAGAAUAAGCACCGGCUAACUUCGUG
rnacentral:rRNA from 1 species